UCGACGGUAACAGGAAGAAGCUUGCUUCUUUGCUGACGAGUGGCGGACGGGUGAGUAAUGUCUGGGAAACUGCCUGAUGGAGGGGGAUAACUACUGGAAACGGUAGCUAAUACCGCAUAACGUCGCAAGACCAAAGAGGGGGACCUUCGGGCCUCCUGCCAUCGGAUGUGCCCAGAUGGGAUUAGCUAGUAGGUGGGGUAACGGCUCACCUAGGCGACGAUCCCUAGCUGGUCUGAGAGGAUGACCAGCCACACUGGAACUGAGACACGGUCCAGACUCCUACGGGAGGCAGCAGUGGGGAAUAUUGCACAAUGGGCGCAAGCCUGAUGCAGCCAUGCCGCGUGUAUGAAGAAGGCCUUCGGGUUGUAAAGUACUUUCAGCGGGGAGGAAGGGAGUAAAGUUAAUACCUUUGCUCAUUGACGUUACCCGCAGAAGAAGCACCGGCUAACUCCGUGCCAGCAGCCGCGGUAAUACGGAGGGUGCAAGCGUUAAUCGGAAUUACUGGGCGUAAAGCGCACGCAGGCGGUUUGUUAAGUCAGAUGUGAAAUCCCCGGGCUCAACCUGGGAACUGCAUCUGAUACUGGCAAGCUUGAGUCUCGUAGAGGGGGGUAGAAUUCCAGGUGUAGCGGUGAAAUGCGUAGAGAUCUGGAGGAAUACCGGUGGCGAAGGCGGCCCCCUGGACGAAGACUGACGCUCAGGUGCGAAAGCGUGGGGAGCAAACAGGA
rnacentral:rRNA from 1 species